UUUUUUUUUUUUUUUUUUUUUGAGAAAAAAAGCCUUAUGGUAAAAAGAAUAGAUUUUGCCUAGUCUCAACUUCAGGAGGUAGGUCCUUUUCAAGAGUUUAAUGGGAGGAUAAGAUGUGAAGAUUUGGAAGAUACAGGGUUGUGGCCAAAUUCCAAUUCAUUAUCAAUGAGCCUGUCAAACCAAUACACACACCAAUACACAUCAGAUACAGUGUGAGACAGAGAGAACUGCAGGUCCUUGAUUCAGGUCACAGAUUCUCCCUGAGGGAUAAUAGAAACAACUUCAUACCUGAUCAGAAAAAAAGCUAAAUAAUGACGACCAAUUCAUCAAGCACAGAGAGAGUCAUUAGGCAACUUCGCCAAUAACCCCACAAGACCAAAACCAAUUUUGGUUUUAAUUAGCUGAAAAAAUGUAAUCACAUCAUCAAAUGAACACCAAAAAAAGUAGGAAGAUGGUGAAUCACCUCAUCAGAUGUCCAGUCUCUGGGGCACCCUUGCAGCUUCUCAGCAGUAACUGUAAACUUCCAUUUAGAACAAAUUGUUUAGCAGUUAAUAGAGCAUACUGGUGACUAACUCAUCUAAGGAGCAUAGUGACAAGCCCAGCUGCUCCAGGGGAACUUAAUAACUCCCUGGACAGUUUUGACUUAAAUGUUAAUGCAUUCAGCAUCCAACUUUGAGGUUACGGACAUGUAACCAUAAUUUUCUCAUAUUUAAAUUAUGGAGCAUCACCAAUAUACAUAGACUUCACUUGCAGAUUCAUUUGAGAAAGAUUACUAGGGCCAAAAUAAACCCCCAAACAAUCACUAAACCAUAGAAGCAGGCUGGUGGAAGAGGAAGAAUUUCCAUUCAGAAAAACAGACACCUAACUGGGAAUCCCAACUCUAUCACCCACUUGCAGUGAACCUUGGGCAGUUCACUCAACUGACUCCAAACUAAGUUUUGAUUUCAUCAUUUGUAAACCUGGUUUUAAUAAGCACUGUUUUCUUGUGGUUAACUACAAAAGUGAUGGCAACUUUCUACCGCUCUCUGUAUUCACACUUUUUUUUGCAAUGCUGCUAGUGACGUUACUAGCAGCUCUAAGUCUGCCUCUCUGCCUUUGAAUUCAUGGUAGCCUUAUGCAUGGAUUCGCCAAUGGAAUACAGAAAAAGACACUUUAUGCCACUUCUAUGGCCAAACCUCAAGAGAUCUUGAAUACUUCUAGUUACCCUUCUAGAACGCUGAUACAACAAUGAGAAAAAACUUUGGCUACCCUGCUGGGUGUCGAGAGGCAAGUGUCACUGGCAUUCCACCAGCUGACAGCCAGAUAGCUAUCUGGCAGAUAUAUGGGGUGAAUUUAUAUGUUUUCAUCACUUAUUGCUGCAAACAAAUAAUAUGACAUUUAUAAAACACUUAAUGAUCUCUCACAUGUCUCUGUGGGUUGCAUGGUUUCAGGCUGGGCUCUUCUGCUCCAUAUAAUGUUGGCCGGAACUUCAGUUAUUUGGGAGCUCUGCUGGGAUGGCUCACUAUGUCUCAUGUCAGCUGUCUCAAUAGGGAAGACUUACACGCCAGCGCACAGGAGUCUCUCUUCCCUCCUUUCUCCUUCUCUCCCCUCCCCUCUUCUCCUUUUGCCUCUGUGCCCUCUUCUCUUCUUGCUGCUCUUUCUUCCCCUUUCCAGCCUCCUUCUCCUUCUCUCUCUCUCUCUCCCCCUCCCUCUGUCUUUCUCAUCUCAAGUCCUCUCCAGAUUACCUUUCUGUUGUACUUCAUGCAAUCUUUCCUGCAUGACACCUGGACAUCUUACACAGCAGCAGCUCAGGGUGCUCAAAAGGGCAAAAAUCAAAGACUUUCAGACUUCAGACUUUCAGACUUUCUUAAGGCUUAGAUCCCAGAUUAGCACUGAGAAGCACUCAGAUUAACUUUCUGCUUUCUCUGUAUUCUGUCGGUAAAGCAAGUCACAAGAUUAGCCCAGGUUCACUGUGAGAGGGGGCUACAGGAAGGCAUGAGUAUCAGAAAACAUAGUUCUUCAGGCUCUGUCUUUGGAGACUAGCUGCCACAUCAUUUUAGACUAGUCAGCUCCACCCUAUUCACCAGCUAACCUGAGAUGCAUAAAUCAGUCCAACUAAGAUCAGUUAGACUGGGCCAGAUUAGAACUGUCCAGUUGAGCUCAGCCAAAUACGCUGACCCAAAGAAUAAUGGACUGAAUAUAUGGUGGUUCUAGCGCAGCAAUUGCUAACCAAUAUGCUCUUCUCGUUGUAUCAAAGUAUAUAGAAUAAAAAUAUAAGGAAACAUAAGCAGUGAAAACCCCCAGAGCUAGUCUUUCACAUAUUGGACAAUUGUUUUUUAAUAUUAACUAUAAUUUUACGAGUGUUUACUUGAACAGUCAUUGAAGAGAGUAAAUAUUUAAUAUAAAAAUUCUAAAUGGGGGGAAUUCUACCUAAGGCAACGUGGAAGAACUUCAUUUAGCAUCAGAUCACAAUAUCAGUGAUCAUAGGAUCCCGUGACAGAUUACUCUCCAGCAGUAGAAAUCACUACCUGGUCAAUUUACUGAUGAUUUCUUAUGUGCAAGAAGCUAUGGAUUGACCGCCAUUCGUCCUGAAAACAGCUCUAAGCAUUGAUGGCUCCCAGGGUCUACAGAACAGAUUCCAAACUCCUCAGCUAAUAUUUUAUACCUUUGAAUGCCUGGUCAUAACUUAAGUUCAAAACUCUUUUUUUCUGGCACAUUUUGUGGGGCUUGUGCCAAAACAAAACUCUAUUCACUGGCGUUCCCUACCCCUCGGUCAUGAGUUAACAACUUUUGUUGAAGAUCUGUACUUGACACUGUAUCCCAGGCUGUAAAUGCAGAGGUGAACAAAGAAGUCAAGAUCUUGUCCCCUUGAGAAGCUUAUAAAUUUAGCAGAGAAAACAAAUAAACAAAAUGCAAAACAUCAGAUUUCCUGUCAUGGCACAGCGGAAACGAAGCUGACUAGGAACCAUGAGGUUUCGAGUUCGAUCCCUGGGCCUUGCUCAGUGGGUUAAGGAUCUGGCAUUGCUGUGAGCUGUGGUGUAGGUCACAGACACGGCUUGGAUCCCAUAUUGCUGGGGCUGUGGCAUAGGCCGGCAGCUGCAGCUCCAAUUCAGCCCCUAGCCUGGAAACUUCCACAUGCUGCAGGUUUGGCUCUAAAAAGCCAAAAAAAAGAAAAAGAAAAAGAAAAAAAAGAAAAGAGUUGAAACAUUUGGGGAACUCUUUGGCAUUGGAGUUUCAAUGUCUUUGUCCAUGAAAUGAGUUUACAUUUCAGUUUCCUUGUCUAUGAAAUGAAUAUAUUGGCAUCCCCUUUAAUUGUUUUGGAGAGACCGGAGUGGAAUAAUACACUUUAAUGUGAAAGGAUCUUGCAAAGGGAAUGUGUAGAAUAGUUGCUGAAUAAACAACACUUUCCCCAAAAGAAAGAGCAUGUGCAUCUGACAUCUUUCAGGCUGCGUGGGGAAUCCUCGAAGGACAUGGCCACGUGUCUUCCUCAGGAAAUCCCAGCAUGCCGGCGCCUCUGAACUUCAGCAGCAUCCCUUGACUGUCCCAGUUCUGGUUACAAUGCUUUUCAGCGCCACCGUCCCAACCAUCUCUUUGAAAGGUGGUCUUUACUUACCUCGGAAAUGCCCUGCGUUCCUCGGGAGCUGUCAGCCCCUCAGGUUUCUGCUUCAGUGGUUAGUCACCAGAGCUGCUUAGAGAUCAGCCUUCUCUGAGCUCAUGAGUCUUCCUGGUGGCCAGGCUGAGCCUUCCUGGUGGCCAGGCUGAGCAGAGCUCUGGGGUAGGGUGUGCAGGAAGAAGCUCACCCUCUCGCCCUGCUCAGGGUUUCCCUUGAACUCUUGGCUGCAAAGUACAACAGUUUGUGCCUAGAGUUUCACCAGACUUUAGAGGUGCUCGGGUCUACUGUACACAGGAGAACGUUACCACGUCAUGCCUCCUGUCUUCAUGGCCCCUGCCUUUCCUAGAGAUCCUGGAGAAAAAUCCAAACAGUAUGCUCAGGCGAUAUUCUUCGAGUACAACGACAAGCGUAUUCUCUUGAAUUUAUGCGAAGAGAACCACAUGGCUUCCCCUGUGCAUGAUCUCUGCAAACAGCCAGAUUCAGAAACCUCUUGUGCACUUAUUAGAACACUCCGUAUGCAGGUGCUUCCAAUAAAUAUUGGCUAAUCGAAUGAAUGAACUCGUAAAGCAAAACCCUGUGUACAUACACAUCACAGACACGUGAUAAAUAUUUAUUAAAAUACUAGCAGGAACACUUACCAGUCUUUAAGGUCAUUUCCAGUAUUAAAAGUUUGCCAAUUACGAUCUUCAUUCUCAGGAACCCUUCGAGUACAGGUCCGGGUUCUCAAUUAAGAACUGCAUAAGUUUGGUUGUGGGUUGCUCUCUUGUGCACUGUUUGAUUUCAGCAGCAUACCUCCCCUCUACCUGCUAGAUACCAAGAGCACGAAUCCAACCCAAGUUUUGACAACCAAAAAUCCCUCUAGAGCGUGACAGACAUUUAGGAGCCCUGAAAUGAAGAGCUGGAAAUCUAGACUUAAAACCAUGCCCGAGGCACCAACUCAGUGAUUUGGAGGAAAUCACCCUCCUUUUAUAAAAUGGGUGUUAUAGAGUUAUUGUGAAGGUUAGAUAAAACCUGUGAAAUUCUCUAGAACAUGGUAGGUUGUAAAUACAUGUCAGUGACCUUAACUUAUAACUAAUGUAGAUGGAAUAUUAAGAAAACAAGACAAUAUAAGAUUUAAACCAUGUAGGAGCCAAAGUGCUGUCUACCAUUGUUUUUACACUCAGAAGACUCGAUGUGGUGUUUUCCACGUAACAGACACUUGAUAAAUGCUAUUGAACUGAAUGGAAAUGUUAGGCUUGGUAGGAGAAGAAUUUCAAAGGUACAGGAAUGAACUAGUUGGAUCUCAGAGAUACCUAAAAUGCUGAUAAACUGAGUGUGAAUAAAGAAACUAUAUGUUUAUGAAAAGACCGCAAGAUUCACUAAUUCAAACAUGGUUUGAUCCUUGGCUAUGCCUCUUCUAUAACAACUUCUGUGAGUCUCAGUCUUGUCAUUGUAAGUAGAAAUGAUAAUAUCUAUGGUGAAGGGUCAUUGAGAUGACCACAUAUAUGUGGGUUUAAAAAAUUAUGGUGUAAGGCAGUCAUGCUACAAAUAAUAAUGGCUCCUGCUAUUAAUAUGCAUUCCUAUUUAAAUUGUUAUUUUUAAAAUGCUGUUGAAUAUUCAUCAUCUCCUGAAUUCUGUUUUUAAGGGCACUUGAAAAUUAGAACUCCCUCAAGAAAUCCACCCCGUGACACUCAUUUAUGAAAGCUGUUGGCCUCAGAUAAUCAAUUAGAACCUAUCAAACAUUUUUAGCACUGGGAUCCAGGCACAUCCAUCAAGUGAAAGGCAGGAGAGUGACAAGCUUUCAAGGAAGGUUGGUGAAAGAUUUAUGAUUCAUGGCAGCUACUUGCACAGCAGUUUCAGCAACAGGUACCCUGUAUUAGGACGUGGCCCUGCCCUUCAAGGGAGAUGGGAUUUGCUUUCAGAGGUCGAUCUAAUUACCUUCUUAGACUCAUUUGAAAAGAAUGAAGGUAUUAACCUUAUGAUUUCAUCAGGACUAGACUUCUUCCCUCAGAUUAUUUUAGUGGACUUGUAGGUGAACAGUCCCAGCUAGAAAUACAAAGCCUUUUGGAAAAUGAAUAGCAAAAGGCCCCUUGAGGAUGCAUGAAGCCGGAAUAUGAAGCUUUCCAUGUGAACUCUUGGCUCUACAGAGGCUGGUGACAACUGAGAUUGUCAAGGAAGACCUGUGACCCCUGGAUGGGUUUCUCUCAGGUCUCAGAAGAGGGGAGAUUUUUCUCUAGGAGAAGCAUAGAGGCAUAUCAGUCUUAGACCUCUUAGUGGUACAUAAUUCUCAAAGUUGUUAUUUGGAGGGUGUGUGUAUAUGUGUGAGAGAGAGAGGAGGGGAGGGGAGGGGACAGGAAAGGAAGGGAAGGGAAGAGAGAGAAGAGAAGAGAAGGGAAAAGAGAAAGGGGGGGGAGUGUCCUUCAAGCUGUAGUGUUCCAUAUGUAAGUGAGUACAGAUGUGGCUGCCCCGAGGCUCUGAGAUAAGUGUAAGCACUGCAGAAAAGCCAGAGGCUUAGAGUCAAGUCAAUCUGAAUCAGAAUUCCAUUUCUAUUGCUUACCAGCAGUGUGGCCUGAAGGUAGGUAAGCUCUCGGAACUGAUUUCAUCACGUAUAAAAUGAAGAUAAUAAUAACUACCAAGAGGAGUUGCUUAGAGUUGACCCUCAUGCUGGCAAGGAUGCAGACGAGACGGUACUCAAAAGGCAUUAGUCGAAGAAGCUUCAAGCUGCUUCCUGGCCUAGAAGGGAGGAUGAGCCUGGAUCGUCAGCUGUUACAUCUCUUUGUUAAACAUAAGAUGAAACUAUCCCCAUGGCCCAGGGAAAGUAUAUAAGUGAGUUAUUUGUGCUUGACAAAAUCUGUGCCUUCCCAAUAGCAUUUUCAUAUUCUCACCCAUUCCCUGGAGUAAAUAUAGGGCUUAGAAAUUAAAAAAAAAAAAAUCCUGGGAGUAGGGAAAAUGGGAAUCUGCCUCCAUUCUUUUUAAAGUUUCAACAUGAU
ensembl:lncRNA